CCAGACUCCUACGGGAGGCAGCAGUGGGGAAUAUUGCACAAUGGGGGGAACCCUGAUGCAGCAAUGCCGCGUGGGUGAAGAAGUACUUCGGUAUGUAAAGCCCUGUCAGCAGGGAAGAAAAUGACGGUACCUGACCAAGAAGCCCCGGCUAACUACGUGCCAGCAGCCGCGGUAAUACGUAGGGGGCAAGCGUUAUCCGGAUUUACUGGGUGUAAAGGGAGCGUAGACGGCAAGGCAAGUCUGGAGUGAAAGCCUGUGGCUCAACCGCGGGACUGCUUUGGAAACUGCGUUGCUGGAGUGCAGGAGGGGUAAGCGGAAUUCCUAGUGUAGCGGUGAAAUGCGUAGAUAUUAGGAGGAACACCAGUGGCGAAGGCGGCCUGCUGGACUGCAACUGACGUUGAGGCUCGAAGGCGUGGGGAGCAAACAGGAUUAGAUACCCUUGUA
rnacentral:rRNA from 1 species